rnacentral:lncRNA from 1 species
UUCAGGUAACAUCCUUAAACCGUCGCUUUGCUGCAUCGCAUACACUGUCUUCGCGCAAUGUUUUCCUUGUGCAAUUUAACACAGGUCCGGCCAUUGAUGUUGUUGCAUCGAGAGCAGGCAGCCCCCAGUGCGUUCAGACGCUGGGUCAGGGCGCUCAGCCGGGCCUGUUCACGCCGGUGGCCCACUGCUCGGUAAGCUUGCAGAGUUUGCACCGGCAGUGCCUCACAGUGCAAACACCCACUUCAUGUAACAGUAAGUUGCGUCAUGCCACAUGCUGCUUCGCCAACAAACCCUCCUCACAGGUGUCGUGCCUGGCUUGGUCACCGUAAGGCCGGUGGCUGGCGACCAAUUGGCAGCCGCCUCAGCAGCAGGCGACAGGAGGCCAGGCGCUGGUAUGGCAGGUGGUGACGGAGCAGGGCAAGCAUUUUGACCAGGCAGUUGGAUCGGCGGCGGCAGCGCCUUUGACCCGUGUGCUGGGGCGGCCUGCGAGCCUGUGCUGGCGGCGGCGUGUGAGGACAGGUGGUGCGGCUGUGGAAGCUUCGACUGCCGCAGACAUCGGGCCAGGGGCAGGGGCAGCCGGGUGGGAGUCUGCUGAGCCCCCGGGUGGUCGAGCCCGUUGUGGCGUUGGAGAGGCACCGGCACAGCAUGGAGGUGGUGGCGUGGCGCCGCCUUGGCAAUGAGACCGGGUCUUGAGCACUGAUUGGCUGCUGUCCUGUGGUGCUGAUCGCUGCAUCCGGGUGUGGAAACAAACAUGAGGCUGCAUGGAAAUGGCGCAUGCGCCGAAGAAGCGCCGAAGCAAGCCGAUUUAGCUCGAGCCCACUACCGCAGGGCGACGUCUUUACAUGAUUGUCGAUGCCUGGGCUGGGUGCAAUUUGUUUCUCAGGACUCAACUAUAUCAUCCAUUUGCUGCCUUUGCAACAUUCCAUCGCCCCCAAACCCACGACCUGUGAAGAAGGGAGGCAUUUGAUUGAGGCUGCGCUGCGUGGGUGAGAGCCUGGUGGCAGCUUCGGCACUGCAUGACUGCGCCCGUGACUGUGCCUUCUGCUUGCUGGCAACUCUCGCUGUGUGUUGUCGUGCCCAUUGUGGCGGCUCGGAGGCGCAGUUAUGCCGUUACGG